AUUCCGCAAAAAAGAUGUAAUAUAAGUGAUAAGUGAUUGAGAAGGAAGAAGAAGAAGAAGUAUCUAAGUCAAGCCAUCCUGCAUUAAUUAAUUUAAGUUAAAAAAGCAUGGAAGAAAGCAAAAUCAAAACCCUUUUUGGGUUCUUUUCAUUCUUCAUCAAUAUCAAUAAAAAAAAAAGCAUGGAAAAAUGUAAAUCGUCUCAGCCAAUGAAUCCAAGGUGCUUGAUUAGCAACGAAAAGAGGCUUGCGCAAGUAGCCGUGAACUCAAUGAUGAUGUGUUUUCUAUUGCUAUUCUAUCCAGUAC